UCAAUCGGUAAGGUGCUUGCCUAGCGUGU
rnacentral:piRNA from 1 species